rnacentral:rRNA from 1 species
GAUGAACGCUGGCGGCGUGCCUAAUACAUGCAAGUCGAGCGAACGGGAGUGGUGCUUGCUCCUCUGUGGAUAGCAGCGGACGGGUGAGUAACGCGUGGGUAAUCUACCUUUAAGCCUGGGACAACUUCGGGAAACGGGUGCUAAUACCGCAUAACAUCUUUAACCAUAUGUUUUAAGAUUGAAAGAUGCUCUUGCAUCCACUAAUAGUUAUACCCGCGUUGCUUUACCUAGUUGGUAAGGUAACGGCUUACCAAGGCAACGAUGCAUAGCCGACCUGAGAGGGUGAUCGGCCACGCUGGAACUGAGACACGGUCCAGACUCCUACGGGAGGCAGCAGUAGGGAAUCUUCCGCAAUGGGCGAAAGCCUGACGGAGCAACGCCGCGUGAGUGAUGAAGGUCUUCGGAUCGUAAAACUCUGUUAUUAGGGAAGAACAUAUGUGUAAGUAACUGUGCACAUCUUGACGGUACCUAAUCAGAAAGCCACGGCUAACUACGUG